AACUAGCCAUUGCUGACCUGUCAGCGCUUCACUAUUUACAACCGUCGCUCUGUACGCGCAUAUAGAAGGAAACAUCCGAAAUAAGCGAUCGAGCAAGCUUAUAAAAGCGAAAAGGAAAAAGAUUUCCCACUUAUUUAGAGACUAACGACGGUUGCUUUUCUUAUGUUUUUCCUGUAAUAACUGGUGGAUACUGUCCAAGUUUGGUCACAAAACGUGUGAGGAAGAAGUCGUUACAUUCAUGGAUAAGCCGAUGGAGACACCGAUUGAAUGAAAGUGAUUUAUUCCUCACCUGCGCGAAAAUAUCCUUAUUCUUCCUGUGCUUUUCGUCAGGUCCACAAAGCAGGUAGAUGGUGUCCAAGUUUGGUCAAAAACCUGUGAGAAAGAAGUCGUUACAUCUAUGGAUAAGCCGACGGAUGCACAGAUUGAACGGGAGUGAUUUAUUCCUUGCCUUCGCGAAAAUAUCCUUAUUCUUCCUGAGCUUUUCGUCAGGUGCACAAAGGUCGAGCAGAUGGUCGCCAUGUUGCAAAGUAUGGCACUCGACGUCCAGCGCGAAAAGGGCGGGAAUUUGUUACCUCAACCCAGACCCUUACUAACCGCGAGAUCACGGUAUCAUGAUUAUUCAAGCUAAUCUUUGUCAUAGCUGGGUUUGAACAAUUGGAGAAAAGCAAUAAUUGUGAUGUUAAUCCUCGCCACUCUUUGCAAACAAGAAAAGAGCUACUCAGACAAGUGGUUUACUUUGGAAAUUGCACCAGAUUUUGAAAGACUCCUAACUACAAUACGAAAAGACUCCUUUGAUUAACACACCAUGAUGUUAGCUCUUCUUACCUGGCUGGUUUCCAAAGAAAGGAAUAUCAUCUGUGUAUCUCCCUGAUGAUGAUGGCGUACAGUUUCCAUUGCUUUCCAAUUCUUCCUUUGCAUUUUGCAACACAUUGACAAGAUCCUGUUGAUCCUCUGGGUGAAUGUAGCCAAACAUGCUGCUUCCUGUCAGUUCAACCUGAAGAAGGAAAGGGGAAAGAUGCACACUUUUUAGUGUGUCUGUCAGACACCAACCUGUGACAGUCCAAGAUGAACAGACACAGUCUCUGAAACAUAGAGGACUUUUGCAUCGCUGGAAAGAACAAACAGGAAUCCAUCCAAUGCCUAAUGAAGAAUAAAACAUGAUAAGCACAGACAAGGAGAUCUACCAAUGAAGAAAUUGAUGAAGGAAAAAAGAAGAAUAUUCUUUGAAGAUACAAGAGGUACUAGCAACAGCUGGUGGAGAAGAAAUGGAAGAAGGUGGAGAGGGACUCUCUGUAUGAAGUUCUAAAAGAAAAUAAUAUAACACAGUAAGCUUUUUACAUUAUUCAUUCAACAAGGCAAGGUGUUCUUUUUUCAUCCGAAAUGAAAGAAUUUUCAGACAUCAACAAAGAAUUCUUCAGCCUAAUUUUGAUGACCUACAUGUAAAAUUUUUUUGGGGUUAAAUUCCCAUGUAAAUAA